rnacentral:rRNA from 1 species
UACGGAGGGUGCAAGCGUUAUCCGGAUUCACUGGGUUUAAAGGGUGCGUAGGUGGCGCGUUAAGUCCGUUGUGAAAUCCCUUGGCUCAACCAAGGAAUGCUUCGGAUACUGGCGUGCUUGAGGCCGGUAAGGGUCACUGGAACUGACGGUGGAGCGGUGAAAUGCGUAGAUAUCGUCAGGAAUGCCAAUGGUGAAGACAGGUGACUGAGCCGGUUCUGACACUGAGGCACGAAAGCGUGGGGAGCGAACGGG